UACGUAGGGUGCAAGCGUUGUCCGGAAUUAUUGGGCGUAAGGAGCUCGUAGGCGGUUUGUCGCGUCGGCUGUGAAAACCCGAGGCUCAACCUCGGGCCUGCAGUCGAUACGGGCAAACUAGAGUGUGGUAGGGGAGACUGGAAUUCCUGGUGUAGCGGUGAAAUGCGCAGAUAUCAGGAGGAACACCGGCGGCGAAGGCGGGUCUCUGGGCCAUAACUGACGCUGAGGAGCGAAAGCGUGGGGAGCGAACAGG
rnacentral:rRNA from 1 species